rnacentral:lncRNA from 1 species
GCUUGUCUCCUCUCGGGAAAGGAUAUCUUGUAUAGAGAUGUGCGAUAUUCCAGUUGCUUCUUAAUGCGCUCUUUAAAAUGCUUCGAUCUUGUCUGUCAGGUAUCUGUGACAGAAAAAUAAAGGUUACAUUCCCAAAACACAGGAGGUAACCAGAUGAGGAGAGCAAUAUCUCUUUUCAAAUGCUGGUAUUGAAGAGGUGGAUAGAGUGAGACUGUGACGUAUCAGGAUGAAAAAAUGUAGUUAAGAAGAAAGGAAAUAGGCUGAUCUUAAGUUCCACGUAGCUGAGGGAAUGUCUACAUCUUUGGUCUCUUGUGUUUCUCACUUGAGGCAAACGAAGCACCACUGCUACAUGUGAAACUGAAACAAACGAGGCAGUAGGUGAAAGACACAGAAAUCAGCCGUCGGGCUUCGGAUCCUCUGCGAGUAUUAGAGGAUGGAAUGAAAAAUGCAGAAUUACUGCCAGAUAGUUUCUGCCAGUUAUGUGCUCAGGAAGAGAGAUAAUCCAUCCAGAGCAUGAGGCUAACGCUGGAGCAAAGUUUAGAUGUCUUAUUUUCAUCGUGACCUUAGGAGUAUACUUCUGCAGAGUAAAGUGGAGUCUCUAAAUUGAGAGAGGAUGGAAUACGUGCUGCAUUUGGUAUGUUGAAUCUGAAUUUUUUCAUCCGUACGUAUAGUCCCAUCUGCUUAAAUACGCUGCACUCAGAGAGCAGGGGUCCUCCUUCCUUCUUCCCCUUACUUGGAAAAUAAUUUGAACAGAGAAG